AUGUACCACUUGUAGACUGCGGUUCUGAGCACUNCCGUCCGCGCCCACCUGACAGCUGCUCGCUACGUUGUGUUAGCC
rnacentral:sRNA from 1 species